GUGGCCGUGGUGUAGUCUGGCUAGCAUAAAAGACUGUGGAUCUUUUGGCCCGAGUUCAAAUCUCGGCGGCCACC
rnacentral:tRNA from 1 species